UCCACUCAUCAGUCAAUGGACAUUUGGGCUCUUUCCAUACUUGGCUAUUAUCAGUAGUGCUACUAUAAAAAUUGCGGUGCACGUGCCCCUUUGAAUCAGCACUCCCGUAUCCUUUGGAUGAACACCUAAUAGUGCAAUUGCUGAGUCGCAGGGCAGUUCUAUUUCUAAUUUUUUGAAAAAUCUCCAUACUCUUCUCCAGAGUGGCUGCACCAGUUUGUAUUCCCACCAGCAGUGCAAAAGGGUUUCUCUUUCUCCACAUCUUUACCAACAUCUGUUGUUGCCCUGAGUUGUUAAUUUUAGCCAUUCUGACAGGUGUGAGGUAGUAUUUCAUUGUGGUUUUGAUUUCUCUGGUGAUGAGUGAUGUUGAGCAUUUUCUUCAUGUGUCUGUUAACCACCUGGAUGUCUUCUUUGGAGAAGUGUCUAUCCAUGUCUUUUGUCCAUUUCUUCACUGGAUUAUUUGUUUUUUUUGGGUGUUGAGUUUGAUAAGUUCUUUAUAGAUUUUGGUUACUAAUCCUUUAUCUUAUCUGUCAUUUGUGAAUAUCUUCUCUCAUUCCAUCAGUUGCCUUUUAGUUUUGCCAAUUGUUUCCUUUGCUAAACAUGUAAAGUUCAAUACAGAAUUUUAAAAAAGGUUUAAAAUGAGAUACCCCCCCACCCCUAAUUUUUUUAAAAAGCAUAAGACUAGGGGCCCCUGGUUGUCUCAAUCAGUGGAGCAUGUGACUCUUGAUCUUAGGGUUGUGAGUUCAAGCCCCACAUUGGGUGUAGAGAAUACUUAAAAUCUUUAUUAAGAAAAAAUAUAAGACUAGAAUUAAAACUUCAAAAAUAAGUUAAAGACUUGUCACCUAUCACUAUUUCCAUACUUUAUAGGAAUCCCACCCUAUUUCCAUACUUUAUAGGGAAGGUGGAUUCUGGAAGAGAUCUUUGGUUUUGCCAAGGGAGAAGGGUGAUUAUGGAUUUAGAGAAACCCCAAAGGAGCCCUGAAAUGAGACAUAAUGAGGGAAGAGAGGGAAAGACAGUAAGGGAAGGGAGAUGAGUAGACGGGAAGGGAAGAGAGGAGAGGGAAGGGAGAGGACAACAAACAAAAGUGAAAGACCGUUGUUCUAAGGUACGUUGUGGUUUUGCUGGGUGAGCUGCAAUUUUGCCUUUUUGCAUUUCUAGGUGGAAGCUUUAUUAGAAGUCUACAUUAUUCACUAAUGUUUUAUUGUCCGUAUUGUGUGUCUGUGCCUGAUGGGAAAUUUAUCUCACACAGCAACUGGUUGAGGGCAAAGUCAGCUGAAGGAAGCCCAGUUACAUGUCUGUAUCUACAUAAAGCAUUCAUGUAGCAAAGGGCUGAGUAAAGCUGAAGUAAAAGUGGUUUCUCAUAACCUUCCCCAGAAAUCCUCUUAUGAUUCUACACAGCAGAGAAUAUUUGGGUGGCUUCUAUCGAAGACAAAAACUGGACAAGCAUGAUGGUUUAUUUUUAUUUAUUUUUUUAAGAGAGGGCACGAGAGAGAGACAGAGACAGAGACAGAGAGAAUCCCAAGCAGACUCCAUGCUCAGCACAGAGCCUGAGACAGGGCUUGAUCCCAUGACCCUGGGAUCAUGACCUCAGCUGAAAUUAAGAGUCAGAUGCUCAUCAGACUGAGCCAUGCAAGCACCCUGAGGUUUAUUUUAUUCUAUUAUAAUUUAAACAAUACCAGAUCUGAAUAUCAGAGUGUCUCAAUAUUGGUUUUGCCUUAGACUUUCAUGGGAAGGGGUGAACAUGUGGCAUUUUGGAGAUUUACAGUAGGGGUUGAUUUGCAAGCAGAAGUCUCAAGAUACCUGAAUAGGAAAUGUUUUUCUCUAUAGUUAGUAAGUUUCAAGGAGGCAAAGAGUUCUAAUCUUAGCUAAUCAAUAAUGAGACAAAAGAUGGGAAACUGAAGGGUCUGUGUCUGGCCUUGUCAGCAGGUUUGGGCAAAAGAGAAAGGUCUGUGUUUGUUGGCUUUGUCAAACAUAGACUGUCUGAAAACAAUAUUAAGGAUUAGAGUAAUUGGUGUGGAAUUUUGGUGAAAGUUCAUUGAAAUAGUCAACAAAGUCAGCAUUUCUUGUUGGCGCUGUUCUUGGAGAAAGCGCUGAACCAUCCGUUGUGCUCUGACAGUGGUCUAGAACUGAGAAGGGUUCUAGAGACAAGUAUUUAAUCAGGGGAUACAUACAGGAAUAAGCAGAAAGAAUAUUAUUAGAAAUUAUAUGAAGGAAUAAAACCAAGACUUGAGAUCAGUCUAGUGGAUUCCAGAAUAUUAGUGUGGUAGAGUCCGUUGACAAUGGGGUCAGCACUGCAGUGGCAAUGGGGUGCAUUUCUUCAUUAGCAACUUGAACUAUAUUUAUGAUGUAGAAGUCAGAGAAAUUUGGGGGAACACAUAUGCGGUAGUCACUUUCAAACAGCACAUGUCUCGCCUAUGGAUGCGAAGAUCAGACCAAGAGCCACUCAGUUGUGGAGCACUGUGUUUUGAGUCUUUUGAAAUUCUUGGGCAAGAAGUUCAAUGUUCUUUAUCACAUUAUUUGUAGCGAUGGCUAUCUCCUGUAGUCGGACAUGGAAGAUGUGAGAGUUUUGACUCCCUUCUUGAGUAGCCCAUAGUGGAGAUGCUCUAGGCAAAAACGUGGCUCAAAUGUGGUCAGAUGCAAGAGCCAAGUCCUUGAGAUCUCCUACCAAGCUCUCAGCUUCCCUUGCAAGGGUGUCAUCAGGUCCAACAGAGAAAGGAAGACUAUAUUAACAUUUUGAUGUCAGCCUUCACAUUUUCAGGAAACACAGUUACUGAUAGACUGUUAAGAUCAAUGAUAGUCAUUGAAGAGGACAAAGAGGAAUUUAAAUACUUUAAGAAAGCGGUUAGACUACAUAUACGAUAAGGACUGACAAGACUGGCUAGGUUAUGAGCCUGUCCAGUAUGCUAGGGUCUACUUCCAUAAAUGAAAUAAGGUGUCUUUUGGAAUAACCAAGGAAAAUGGGGCAAUUUUUUUUUUUUUUCCAUAAUGUCAUCCUUUCUACCAUAUAGAAACUGAGAAAAAGGUAUAGCUUUAAGGAGAAUAUCAUAUCCCGACUGGGACUUUUCCAUAUGUAAAACUUUUUUGCCCCACCCCCACCCCCACCAUGGCAGCACCCAUGGUGGAGUUGUUUGAUUUUAGGUUGCAUUUUCUUUGGGAAAUGAUGAAUAGUUACAAGUACUGUCAUUAGAGUUGGCAGAGUAAAAGAUGUACAAUUGACUCUUGAACAACACAGGAGAAUGGGGUGCCAACCCCCUGCACAGUUGACAAUCCACAUGUAAUUUGACCCUCCCAAAAACUUAGUUACUAAUAGCCUACUGUUGACCAGAAGUCUUACCAAUAACAUAAACAAUUGAUUAAUACUUAUUUUGUGUGUUAUAUGUAUUAUAGACAGCGUAUUUAUAAUAAAGUAAGCUAGAGAAAAGGAAAUGUUGUUAAGAAAAUUGUAAGGUAGAGGAGCACCAGGGUGGCUCUGUGGGUUAAGCGUCUGAUUCUUGAUUUUGGCUCAGGUCAUGAUCUCACCGUUCAUAGAACAAGCCACAUGUCAGGAUUUGUGCUGACACAGUGGAGCCUGCUUGGGAUUUUCUCUCUCUCCCCUCUCUCUGCCCCUCCCCUGCUCAUGCAUGCAAUGUCUCUCUCUCAAAACAAAUACUUAAAAAAAGAAAAUUGCAAGGUACAGAAAAUACAUUUAUAGCUCUGUACUGUAAAAAAAUCUGCAUAUAAGUGGGCCCAUGUUGUUCAAAGGUCAACUGUGUAGACAGAAACUGGAACCUAGAAAAUUCUUGUCUGUGAAGUUGUCAGAGAAAUAAAUAUGAGUUUUCUAAAAGUAGUCCAGAUUGGAUUUGGUUAUUUGUUUAACUAAUAUAAAACAUGGGAAGAAUGUCCUCACAUUGUGUGGGGACAACAGCUAAGCUGUUGAUGGUGGUUUUAGGGUGGGAAGAAGAAUUUAAGGAAAAAUGAAGGAAAGGGUGAACAAAGGCAAAAAAUUUAAGAAAGAUGUUAAAGUUGAGUAAUCAGUUUAGCAAAAGCCAUCCCCAGGUUUUGGGGAUCCUGAAUGUAAGUUAAAUAAGGAAUAGGGAAGAAGGAAUAGUAGGACAGCCAAAAAAGAAAAAGACAUGGUUCAAGGAAGUUUUGAUAGUAAUGAGUAACAGAAAAAUAGGAGGAGGAUAAAAGAAAGGAUACAAAGGGGAAAUACGGAGAGGAUUGAAUAUAACACCUGUAGAUGAUGUUCUUGCAUGUUGGUUGGAAGCUGACCACUUUAUGGUGUAAUAUAAUUGUUCUUGAGAAAGCAGUCUACUUCAUGUCAUUAUAAGGAAGGAAAAUUUCUUUUUUUUCCUUCUCUUCUGCUAGUUCCCUGACUGGGGCCUUAUAAAAUUAGACUGACAAAAGAUAGAUUUACAAGAGAAAAACAACUUAUGGAGUGUACAUCGUGUGGGACAAAACUCAGUGAAGAGUAACUCAAAGCAUUGUUUAGAACUUGGGCUUUAUAGCAUCUUAGCAAAGGAACAAUAAUUUUUUGGAGAAGUGACAAGGCAAAGCAAAAGGACUUCAAGUUUCUAGGGGUGGAAAAUUGUGGGAAGGCAAAUGAAAUAGAUGGAGAAUUGGUGGAAGAUAUGAGCUAAUAAAAUGUAUUAUGUAGAUUCCUUGGGACUGAUAAGAGUCUCUAGUUGUCUCCAAUGAUUAACUUUUGUCCUUACUACAAAUUUAUGUCCUGCUUUUAGGUAAAGAGGGGAAAGGUAGGGAGCUUUUCUUCUAUCUGCUUCUCACUUGCCUUCAGGUCCAAAUAAUCCUUGUGCGAAAGUGGCAUAUUCUGCCACCUACAUCAUCAUCUGCUUCUGGGGCCUCUCAAAACACCUUCAUUUCAAGGUUUCCUGUUAAGGUGGAUUUCUGUUUGAAGUACAGCUUUUUUUUUUUUUUUUUUUUUUUUUAGUUGUGAAAUGUGAACCCAAGGUUGUAUUGUUUGUAAUUUUGGAGCAGUUGUGGUUUUGAGGAGGAUAGUGUGUUUUGGCUUAGGACCCCUAAAGUGUAUCUACCCCUUUCAUGUAUACAAAAGGGAAGAGGUAUGAGUAACUGGGGACUCCAAGAGUGAGCGAAGAGCAUGGAGAGGAUUUGAGGUUUUGAGAUGCAGACAUGGAACCCAGUUAAGGGGGUCAGAGACAUCUCUUUAGUCAUGAUGUAUAAGGAAGAGGCUACGGCAGAAAAGUUAGGGAGUCAGUUCUGGUGACAGCUAACUAUUCUUAGAAACCCUCAGAGUUGUCUUUUGGUCUUGCGGAGAGGGAAACUGAUAACGGUGUUAAUUUUUUUUAGGAAUAAAGCCUUUACUUCAGGGAGGAUAUCAUGUGCUAGUACUUGAGAGCCACUCAUUGUUUUAUGUUUAGAGAUGUUAUGUCCCUUGUGGGCAAGAGCUUGGAGUAAAUAUUGGGCAUUGACAACCAUCAUUAAGCAGAGAAGGUAAUGAGGCUCGGACGCCCUCAGAGGAGGGACUGAACCUCCUCAAAAGAGGUUCGCCUGAGUCAUGGAUGGAUGAGACUGAGCAGCAGGGAAGGAAGACGGAGUAGAGUGUGGGGCUGUGCCUGACCAUUCCCCAUCCCAGACCUUCACCUCACCCCAAGUGCAGGGUGUUCUGAGAAGAGGGGCGUGGUGCACAGCAAAGCUCCACUGUGGGUGACCUGCCACAACAGCUCUGUUGGACUGGAGAGGGAGCUCCUGAUGACAGCCAAACUGCCACAGGGGUGGAACCUAUUUAUUCAACGCGGUUAAUGAGUCUCUGGAACAACUGCACUGGGGCCAGCUGUAGUUUGUAUGUCUGUGGGUGUAGAAGUAAAGGGAGUGAAGUUUAAAAUCAGCUAAAAAAGUAAAGCCAAUCACUUAAGAUACUUAAAACAUAGAAACGAAUUGAAGUUUGAGGCAGAAAUAAAGGUCAACAGGGUAGGACCUUAUUGUAACACAGCUAACAUUUAGGAUGAGAGAGAGAUAAAAAGUAGAGAGAGGAGGUCAAGUCUGAAAAUCUGUAAGGAGGCUCCUAUGGACAGCCCAGCUUCCCAGUAAACAGUAUCCCAUAUAGCACAAGGCAGACCUUCAUCCACCUGUGAUUGUUCCCCUGAGGGCUGUCGCCCAGCCUUGCACCGAGAAAUAUCCCUCGGUAAGGUCUGCAUCCUGUGAGUAUUGACCGUCUGCUAGAUGCUGCUUAGAUACUAUUAGACAAAGGUAAAGAAGACUGCAUUUAGGGGCACCUGCCUGGGUGACUCGGUUAAGCGUCCGACUUCGGCUCAGGUCAUGAUCUCACGGUUUGUGAGUUCGAGCCCCGCGUCAGGCUCUAUGCUGACAGCUCAGAGCCUGGAGCUUGCUUCUGAUUCUGUGUCUCCCUCUCUCUCUGCCCCUCCCCUGCUCAUGCUCUGUCUCUCUCUGUCUCAAAAAUGAAUAAAACAUUAAAAAAAAAUUCUUAAAAAAAAAGAAGAAGAAGACUGCAUUUAAGAGCACUGUCGAGCAGGGAGACAGGCAGGUAGCUAUAAAUUCAGGGUCAUAAGGAUUGUUUUAGACAUCCACGCAGAGGAUCCACAAGCAGGAACAAAGAAUUCUCGAGAGGGUGAGAGGUUUCACAGAUAUGACAGGUGAGCAGGACCUUGCAGAUUGAGCACACAGAGAAAGUGGGAAAGAGCACGGAGCAGAGGAAACAGCAAGAGUGAAGGUUCAAAGUACAGAACACGCACAUUUUACCUCCCUCCCUCCCUCCCCACCUCCCUUGCUAUUGAUACUGAGAUGUCCUGUGUGGAGAGGGUGAGAGUUUCAAAGUGGUGAAAAGGAUUCGAGCCUACAGUAUAGGCGGGGUUCAGAGCAAGAAUGGAAGAACAGGUUGGGACUGGUUGUAAGAGGCCUCGGGUGCCAAUUAGCAGUUUCCCAUACACCCAGCGCUGCUGUCUCAAAGUUCAGGUAAUAAAAUCUUGCAGAACGUAACUCUGGCAACAGCGGACGGGGAACGUCAGGUCAGGAAUAAUGAGAAACUGGUAGUCAAAUGUGGGCUAUUACAGUCGGUCUGAUGAGAGGUGAUUAACCUUAGAAGUGGGUCAGGGCCAGACAUUUCCAAGGAGGAUUGGUAGAGUCUGGUGACCUGUGGAACUGGGUCUGUGAGGAGCAUGGUGAUGUCGUGGAGGGUGUGGACUUUACAGCAAGGCCAGCCAAGUUCGGUCUGAUGCUGGCAUUUACUAGCUCUGUGAUCCUGAGCCAGGGACAGACACUUUUAGAGUUCAGUUCUCUUCUGUAAAAAUGGGCCUAUUUUUUUUUUUUUUCCAGCAAAGAUUGAAUUGAAUCUAAUGUUUUGUCUGGCACAAAGUAAGUAAUCCAUACAUUUGAGUGCCUUUCAGUGGGUGUUCAAGGCCUCCCAUAUUUUGUGUCACGUGCAUCUUUCAUUUUUUAUAUAAUUUUUUAAAUGUUUAUUUAUUUUUGAGAGAGAGAGAGAAACAGAGCACAAACGGGGGAGGAACACGGAGACAGAAUCGGAAGCAGGCUCCAGGCUCUGAGCCGUCAGCCCAGACAGGCUCACUGUCCUGUUCCCAUCCCCUCCCUCCAAAACAGGACUAUUUACUGUUUCUCAGACAUGGCCUAUUCUUUGUCAUCUCUAAGUCUUUGCUCAUGCUAUUUCUUUUCUUGGAAUAUCUUUCCUGUCUUCAGUUUUCAUUGUUCUCUAGGGCAGUCAAUUCUUAAAGCUCCAAAUUGUACCUCAUCUAAGAACACAUCCUCAGUUACCCCACGUAGAAAUGAUCCUUGCUGCCAAAGCAUUCUCUUGGAACCCUUCUAAUAACGCUUACACUAUUCUGCAGUUCACCUGCUUUGGAGAUAUAUUUUCUCUCUUCUAGGUAGCAUCUAGUUAAGUUUUCUGUUCACUAUAAUACUAAGUCCGUGUACAGUGUUACCAGAAGUAGAUAGUUAAUGGAUGAAUGUGGUCAACUCGGAUAGAGACGGGAGUGGUCAAGUGAAUAGUAGGUGUGGGGGCAGGAGGAGGAUGGUGUGUGCUUGCUAACCAGAAAGUCAGUGGAGACGUACGGCUGCCAAUCCUAAUUUUAUUACCAUCAUUUCUAGUUCUUCCUUUGUAACUCCUACUUCCUCCACAGCCUCUGAGAGUGGCAAAAUUCAACAAACGUGUAAGGCCAGUAAGGAGGGUUUCAGACAACAUCGUGCUACUAGUGUGCUGAGUUUUGGGCUGGUUUGUAUGUUUGACCUGUUCCGUGAGCUCUAGGCUUCAUUCAGGUGAGUGGCAAAGAGAAUAUGUGCUCUAUGACUUCAGUGUUCUUUCCGUGAGAAAAAUACAUAGUUUGACAAAUAAAGUCAUGAUCCAGGCUAACAGCAGCUUCGGUUUCAAAAUUAAAUUAUCUGAUUAAGUAGCACACUCUUUUUUCACUUAGAAGUUUUAACGUCUUUAAGUCUGCAUGGCUUAGUUUCAUGAAAUUGGCUUGCGGUCCCUUUAAGCACAGCCAAAGGCAUUAGAGAAAGAUGAUGCUGAGCUAAGCAGCCUGGAAAACCAGCCUGCAAUGAAAACUUACAAAGGAAAACUAGCCUUUGGGUACUGGACAACCAGAUUUGGUCAUGAUCUCACCAUUCGUGAAAUCCAUGCUGUCAACAGAGAGCCUGCCGGGGAUUCUCUCUCUUCCUCUCUCUUUGCCCCUCCAUCCCCCCACCCCUUGAGUAAAUAAACUUUAAAAAAUAGAUUUUUCUAAACUCUAAAUAAAAUUAUUUUAUACAUUCUGUUCCCUAAUGUACAUGUGAUUCAAAACAUCUAACAUCUUGAGACUCUUCUAUAGAUGAUAAAAAAAUGUGCUACUUGGUAUUGGUUCAUAUGAAAUAAAAGCAUAUAUCUGCACACACAGCUCUGUAUGUGGGGAGUAAUUUAUGUGGUACAAUUAAUGGCUAUUAAAUUGGCUAUUAAAGAAUUAAGAGACAAUUAUGGUGGAGAACCUUAAAUUUUCAAAUACUUUAAACUAUAAAAAUUGAUCAUAUAAUGCCAUGAAGUUAAAAUAAAGACUUAGAACCUUUAGCACAUGUUGCUAGAAACAAAUAAGUACCCUUUUUCCAUCUGCUAGGGUAAAAUGUUCAUCUGUGCAUUAGAAGAAUAAAACAAGUUCCUCAGGAACCUCAGAGCCCCAAUUCUUGGCUUCUUCUGAAAUGUUUAAAAUAUCAUCAGCUCAUUGAAAAGAAAAUCUCCUAUCUCCUCCGGAAGGGCCAAAUAAGAACAUUCAUAGGGUAUUGGCAAAAGGUUGAAUGGGAGGAGAAGGGCUGGACUGGGUCCCCACUUCUCUAAUUGUGGCAAGUCCAUUUCAUGUCAAUUAACUUUCACCGAAAUGCUUCACCUCCUUCUCAAUUUUUUAUUUUUCUUUCUUUUUUGCUCAUAUUCUCCUAUUUGUUAGGUUGAGUGUAUUGUUAUUUUUGCUUUUAUUUGUCCAGAAUAUACCCCAAAAUAGAAAUACUUAUUUUUAGACAUUUUAGAGUUAAACAGAAGGCGGUCAGCCAUUAUGAAGCUACGCUGAAGAGAGACAAUAAUCAACACCCCAAAACUGACUUUUCUAAAAAUACUAGAAUGAAAAGUGGCCAUCUUCAUAGGUGUGGUUCUUCUUGAAGACAGAUAGAAAUUCCUACUGAAUAACCUCUACAAAUUAUCCUUUACAGAUUAAUGUAGAAGAGUGGUUGCCAUUCUUGGGAACUCAGAUUUUAUUUUUGAUACUUGAAAAACUCCUAAAAGACAUUAGAUAGUCACCUCAGAUAAGCCUCCACAGGAUAGGUCAAAAAAGAAGACAAAAACAAGAACAAUCAAAUCGUUUUGCUUUAACUAACAUGACAUUAAGUCACAUACCUUGGGUACUGUGAUUUUCAGUCAUGCAUGUCUAAUU